AUGCUGGAAGGCCUACGCCAUGGUCUCCCGCAUGAAGAAUCUGAACAUAUGUACUCUAUACAUCAGCAGAGGAAAGRAGCUAACACCUGCUUGCAUUUGAAUCAAGUGAUAAAAUCCCAGUURGGUUGUACAGAUUGGUAUGACUACACUUUGUCUGCUCUAGCUCAGGGGAAAGCUUUCAGUGAGAGCGUUCAGAAACUGGUGACGAAAAUCUCUCCCGUGAGGGGAAGCAAUUUGAGUUUCUCAGCCUACAAUAAAGACGGGCAGAGGAGCUGUAUGCUCAGCAAGAGAGGGUAUAUCACAAACCUGGGUUUCGUCUGUGGCACGCACUUGAAAUGGAAUAUAUUUCAAGAACAAGAGAUUCACAAAAUAUUUGCAUGUCACAGAAAUUUUGAAUUAGGAACCAGUCACAGAUCAGUAGUGGCAACAUGGGAGAUGAGAAAAAAAAAUAUCAGACACCAGUGGUUGCUGUCUCUGAAUCCAACUUCCCCUGAAAUCUCUGUAGCUGAGUAAGAGCCUGCUAGAGGGUAGAGA
rnacentral:lncRNA from 1 species